GGGUGCGGCGCGUACGGACGCGCAGCAGGUACCGGAGCAGUCGGGCCGCUGCUU
rnacentral:ncRNA from 1 species